AAAUUUAAGAGAAAAAGUGCUUGAAACAUUAGGCUUUUAUGGCUUUUAUAGCCGUAUAGUAUUAUAUAGUAAGAAUAGGGAGCUAAAACACAAGAAGAAAAAACAAAACUAAUUUUUUUUUUCAGAGGCCCAAAAACUAAGCAAAAAUAUGCUGUUAUGUGCAAUAGUUAAUUUAAAUGAAUGAGAUUAUUAUAACACUAUAAUAGACUAUACUAUAUAUAAAUAUAAUUUGUCACUCACUAUGUAAUAUUAUGAUUAAAGCUCUGUAGUUUUCAUUGUAGUAGGCAAAACACACAAUGCAAUGCUGACUGAGAUACACAGAUAAAUCUUCCAAAAAAAAAAAAAAAAUCCUGCUGUAUCAUAUUUUAUAACUACUGUACAUACUUUUUGUUUCUUACAAAAUAUAAUGGAUAAUCAAGUUGUAUCAAAUAUUAUAGGCUACAGUAGGUGUUACAGGGUUAAGAGUCAGAGAAUAAACUUGUUCUUUUCCUGAGUAAGGCGCACUACAUGCUGAACUCAUAGGACUGACCAACAUUUAUUAGACUCUUAAAUCAGCCAUAAAAUAAAAGUCAUCAGAUAAAAUAUGAAGUCAUUCAUCUGGAUUUAUGUCGGCGUGUGAGCGCGGUGUUAUGGAGUGGGUCGCGCGAGACGCGCCAAAUGCUCCUUUACUGUGGCACGUGCCAGGUGCCUCUCCGGGCGCGAGCCUGGUCCGUUGACUGGAGGAAGGCACGUCAUCCAUCUCUCCUGCUCUGACGAGAUUCCCAUAGACCUCGGCCUCGCUCAUUACUGCGACGCUGGAGUGACCCAUAACGACGAAAAACAGCCAUACGGUGUCUCUCUUGGAAGUUUGUACCUGGUUGUGUUGCCGUUCAGGAGCAUGCUUCUUAAAUAAAACUGCAGUAAGCAAAACUGAUGGGUGGAUAAUUUUUGAAGCGAAUGGGGGAAUUGAAACAACAUGAUAGCUGCAUUCGCACCCCUUCAGGCAGGUUCCCCAGGGAGCGCGCUGUGUUACAGUCUUCCCCCAUCCACUCCACAGUUCUGAGAUGCACAGAGACGAUAACACACUCUGUGCUGGUAUGUGGUGAAGUGUGCAGCUGCAGCAGUUAGGAGGAAUGCAUCAUGGAGUUGCUGGUAGGACUGGAGGAAGCUACUGGGAUAAGGAAUGAUAACAGACAAGCAGGAUCUGGAGGCAGCACUCAAUCCUGAGUCCAGAGGGUGGAGGAGACGCUGUGAUGUGUCCGUGGUUGUGGUGGGCUCACGCUGAGCGGGGAGAUUGAAGAGGGAGACUCCAGAGCACACUCUCCACGAGCAAGGGAGGAAAGAGGAAAGAGAGAUCUAUGAUGUGAUGAGAUGAAGGAGAAGGAGGGAUAGAUGAUGUGGUGCAACGUGUGGGGAUGCUCUCGUAAACUGGAUGAUCACAGCCACCCUGGCCCCCCCUUGUCUGCAGCAUCACUCCAAAACAUCCCUAACAGAUCAAUCCAUUACUUACUGAAACACACCGUGACC
ensembl:lncRNA